AUACUUACCUGGCAGGGGAGAUACCAUGAUCACGAAGGUGGUUCUCCCAGGGCGAGGCUCAUCCAUUGCACUCCAGCUGUGCUGACCCCUGCGAUUUCCCCAAAUGCGGGAAACUUGACUGCAUAAUUUCUAGUAGUGCGGGACUGCGUUCGCGCUUUCCCCUG
rnacentral:snRNA from 1 species